GUGGGGAAUAUUGGACAAUGGGCGCAAGCCUGAUCCAGCCAUGCCGCGUGAGUGAUGAAGGCCCUAGGGUUGUAAAGCUCUUUCAGUGGGGACGAUAAUGACGGUACCCACAGAAGAAGCCCCGGCUAACUUCGUGCCAGCAGCCGCGGUAAUACGAAGGGGGCUAGCGUUGUUCGGAUUUACUGGGCGUAAAGCGCACGUAGGCGGAUCGUUAAGUCGAGGGUGAAAUCCUGGAGCUCAACUCCAGAACUGCCUUCGAUACUGGCGAUCUUGAGUCCGGAAGAGGUGAGUGGAACUCCUAGUGUAGAGGUGGAAUUCGUAGAUAUUAGGAAGAACACCAGUGGCGAAGGCGGCUCACUGGUCCGGUACUGACGCUGAGGUGCGAAAGCGUGGGGAGCAAACAGGAUUAGAAACCCCAGUAGUCC
rnacentral:rRNA from 1 species